rnacentral:rRNA from 1 species
CCUACGGGAGGCAGCAGUGGGGGAUAUUGCACAAUGGGGGAAACCCUGAUGCAGCGACGCCGCGUGAGUGAAGAAGUAUUUCGGGAUGUAAAGCUCUAUCAGCAGGGAAGAAAAUGACAGUACCUGACCAAGAAGCCCCGGCUAACGACGGGCCAGCAUCCGCGGUAAUACGUCGGGGGCAAGCGUUAUUAGGAUUGACUGGGGGUAAAGGGGGCGUAGUCGGUUAUGAAAGUCUGGUGGGAAAGCCUGGGGCCCAACCCCGGGACUGCUUUGGAAACUGUGUAACUGGAGUACAGGAGGGGCAGGCGGAAUUCCUGGUGUAGCGGUGAAAUACGUAGAUAUCAGGAGGAACACCGGCGGCGAAGGCGGCCUGCUGGACUGAAACUGACGUUGAGGCUCGAAAGCGUGGGGAGCAAACAGGAUUAGAUACCCUAGUAGUC